rnacentral:rRNA from 1 species
GACGAACGCUGGCGGCGUGCUUAACACAUGCAAGUCGAACGGAAAGGCCCUGCUUUUGUGGGGUGCUCGAGUGGCGAACGGGUGAGUAACACGUGAGUAACCUGCCCUUGACUUUGGGAUAACUUCAGGAAACUGGGGCUAAUACAGGAUAGGAGCUCCUGCUGCAUGGUGGGGGUUGGAAAGUUUCGGCGGUUGGGGAUGGACUCGCGGCUUAUCAGCUUGUUGGUGGGGUAGUGGCUUACCAAGGCUUUGACGGGUAGCCGGCCUGAGAGGGUGACCGGCCACAUUGGGACUGAGAUACGGCCCAGACUCCUACGGGAGGCAGCAGGGGGGAAUAUUGCACAAUGGGCGGAAGCCUGAUGCAGCAACGCCGCGUGCGGGAUGACGGCCUUCGGGUUGUAAACCGCUUUCGCCUGUGACGAAGCGUGAGUGACGGUAAUGGGUAAAGAAGCACCGGCUAACUACGUG